rnacentral:tRNA from 1 species
CCUCACUUCUAUAAAUUAUAAAAUGAAAUUUAUAGAAUAAAUUUUCGCAUUUGUGGCCGAGUGGUUGAAGGCAACGGAC